AAAGGUGGGUCUAGGACGGCAUACAAUGGAAGUGACAUUGGAGGUGGAAUGGCUGUCAAUCUUCUGUUUUGCAGAGGCUUGGAAGAGAGAAUGCAUUAGCAAAGAGCACCAAACCUUCGGCAGUUUAAUGAUAUCGGAGUGAUUUUGCCAAAGAAGAACUCCAUACAAGGAUUCACACUUGUAAAUUAAGGUUUUCAAGAAAGCAGGUUUUUGCAUUAAUCAGGUAAUGCAAGCCACACGGGACUGACUUCUGGAUUUAAAGAGAGGACUGUUGACCAAUGAAUGACGUGUAGAGGCACAGCUUCAAUUCAAAAACUCAGUCUCAUGUGCUUUAUGUUUCCAGUGUUUCUGUGCCUGUAGCUGAUUAAAAUUUUAUUUACCGUCAUACAUUGUGCUUCUGUUGGUGUGCUCUGUACUUAA